rnacentral:rRNA from 1 species
AGCGAACGCUGGCGGCAGGCCUAACACAUGCAAGUCGAACGAACCUUUCGGGGUUUGUGGCGGACGGGUGAGUAACACGUGGGAACGUUCCUUUAGGUUCGGAAUAACUCAGGGAAACUUGUGCUAAUACCGAAUGUGCCCUUCGGGGGAAAGAUUUAUCGCCUUUAGUGCGGCCCGCGUCUGAUUAGCUAGUUGGUUGAGGUAAUGGCUCACCAAGGCGACGAUCAGUAGCUGGUCUGAGAGGAUGAUCAGCCACAUUGGGACUGAGACACGGCCCAAACUCCUACGGGAGGCAGCAGUGGGGAAUCGUGCGAAAUGGGCGAAAGCCUGACGCAGCCCUGCCGCGUGAAUGAUGAAGGUCUUAGGAUUGUAAAAUUCUUUCACCGGGGACGAUAAUGACGGUACCCGGAGAAGAAGCCCCGGCUAACUUCGUG